rnacentral:rRNA from 1 species
GAUGAACGCUGGCGGCGUGCCUAAUACAUGCAAGUCGAGCGAACGGACGAGAAGCUUGCUUCUCUGAUGUUAGCGGCGGACGGGUGAGUAACACGUGGAUAACCUACCUAUAAGACUGGGAUAACUUCGGGAAACCGGAGCUAAUACCGGAUAAUAUUUUGAACCGCAUGGUUCAAAAGUGAAAGACGGUCUUGCUGUCACUUACAGAUGGAUCCGCGCUGCAUUAGCUAGUUGGUAAGGUAACGGCUUACCAAGGCAACGAUGCAUAGCCGACCUGAGAGGGUGAUCGGCCACACUGGAACUGAGACACGGUCCAGACUCCUACGGGAGGCAGCAGUAGGGAGUCUUCCGCAAUGGGCGAAAGCCUGACGGAGCAACGCCGCGUGAGUGAUGAAGGUCUUCGGAUCGUAAAACUCUGUUAUUAGGGAAGAACAUAUGUGUAAGUAACUGUGCACAUCUUGACGGUACCUAAUCAGAAAGCCACGGCUAACUACGUGCCAGCAGCCGCGGUAAUACGUAGGUGGCAAGCGUUAUCCGGAAUUAUUGGGCGUAAAGCGCGCGUAGGCGGUUUUUUAAGUCUGAUGUGAAAGCCCACGGCUCAACCGUGGAGGGUCAUUGGAAACUGGAAAACUUGAGUGCAGAAGAGGAAAGUGGAAUUCCAUGUGUAGCGGUGAAAUGCGCAGAGAUAUGGAGGAACACCAGUGGCGAAGGCGACUUUCUGGUCUGUAACUGACGCUGAUGUGCGAAAGCGUGGGGAUCAAACAGGAUUAGAUACCCUGGUAGUCCACGCCGCAAACGAUGAGUGCUAAGUGUUAGGGGGUUUCCGCCCCUUAGUGCUGCAGCUAACGCAUUAAGCACUCCGCCUGGGGAGUACGACCGCAAGGUUGAAACUCAAAGGAAUUGACGGGGACCCGCACAAGCGGUGGAGCAUGUGGUUUAAUUCGAAGCAACGCGAAGAACCUUACCAAAUCUUGACAUCCUUUGACAACUCUAGAGAUAGAGCCUUCCCCUUCGGGGGACAAAGUGACAGGUGGUGCAUGGUUGUCGUCAGCUCGUGUCGUGAGAUGUUGGGUUAAGUCCCGCAACGAGCGCAACCCUUAAGCUUAGUUGCCAUCAUUAAGUUGGGCACUCUAAGUUGACUGCCGGUGACAAACCGGAGGAAGGUGGGGAUGACGUCAAAUCAUCAUGCCCCUUAUGAUUUGGGCUACACACGUGCUACAAUGGACAAUACAAAGGGCAGCGAAACCGCGAGGUCAAGCAAAUCCCAUAAAGUUGUUCUCAGUUCGGAUUGUAGUCUGCAACUCGACUACAUGAAGCUGGAAUCGCUAGUAAUCGUAGAUCAGCAUGCUACGGUGAAUACGUUCCCGGGUCU